rnacentral:rRNA from 1 species
AUGGCUCCGGCCAGCGUCAUGGCUCCAAGACUUGGUCGAGAGAUGGAUUCGAGCUCUUACCGUAACUGCCUUCAGUGUCCAAGCGAUGGUCAUCACCGCUCACCAGAUGCCGGCGGUCGCACGGUUUGUCAAAGCGAGCAUUGCCAAGAUGCUCAUUUCGUCGAUGUUAUUGCCCCUGUUCUUAGGGUGGAGAAUUUACGGGCCGUGCUAGACAUGUUUACUUGUGUCUCCAAUGCAUCAUACAUGUUUAAGCCGGUCGUGAUCUCUCCGGAAGCCCAAAGCAUAUUCAGCGAGAUAGGCGGCUCGUUGGAGAGACAAGGAGACAGGCUAUAUGAGGUCCUAUCGAGCAUGAUGGAGGAGGUGAGGACACCCAUGGAGGAGGACGACACAUGGGCUAUUGAGAUUCUUCGAGGAGGAGGUGGGGUUCACAGAAACACUCGGUUGAUGGUAGAUUACAUCACAUCCAUGAGGGAAGCAUGUGCAUCGACGCAGAACUGUGCACCGAGCAACAACACCGUAAACCUUGGUGACCUGAUAGAUGACACGAUCGAGUAUCUGGAGGAUCUGCUUCUGAGAAAAUCAGAGCUAUGCUCGGAUCCAAGCCUGAGGUACAUUUUCCUGCUCAACAAUUCCCAUUUCGUAGCACAGGUUUCUGAGCCAUCGGUAUCGCUUUAUCUUGAGCAAUGGUCUGAACUUAACCUUACACCUGAAUGUAAGAAGUUGAUGGAUAGCUAUCUUGAUGUUUCUUGGGGACAUGUCCUAUCCUGCAUACCCAAAUCGAGAUUUCCUGGACCCAUCCAUUGUUGGAUCAACACCUCUUCCCUAACCAAAUUUGAAUCGGCUUUUCGAAAAACUUACCAGGCUCAGAAGUUCUGGAAGGUCCAGGACCCUCAGCUCAGAGAUCUGCUGCGGAGAGCUAUUGCGGAGAGAGUCAUUCCAGGUUACCGCGACUUCCUGGAAGAGCAUCCAGAGCUAGAGAAACACAUUGGCCGCGGAAGCAGCAGUCCUGAGGUUUUCAAGAAGAUGUUGGGAGAGCUAUUUGAAGGAUGA